GUCCCCACUUCCUCCUUGUGCCCCGAAGGCCAGCCCGGCACUCAGAAGCUUUGGAGUCUCCCAAAAUGCCUGCUGGGUCUCUGCAGGACUGGCACCUGUCACCGGAACCUGUCUGGGAGGGACGAGAACACGCUUUGCAAGAGGAAGCUCUGCCUCACAGAGCCCUGGGCUCACUCAGGGACCCUGGCCAGCAGCUGCUUCCUCUCCCCACAGCGGAGAGAGACCCAAGGGUCCCAGGGCGGAUGCUUCCCACCAGGCCAGCCCAGCGUGCAGGGUGGCCUCGUAAGUCCUGAUUGACAUAUGGACAGUGGUUCAGAGAGGUUACGCUACUUGCUCAAGGUCACCCAGCUCCCAGGCCCCUGCUGUCUUCCAGGCCACUGAGGUCCUAAGCGUCCUUCCAGGCGAGCCACUGCUCACAGCCUGUUCCUCAUGUUCUGCGGCAGGUUUGUGUAUCUACAUCUUUUCCAGUUCCCUGUCGUCCCCCUUCCUACACCUCGUCAUCCACUAUCCCUGUUUGUUUUCUCUGUUCCUUUCUAGUUCUCUACCUGCUCCUCUUAUUUUUAUUUGAGACAGGGUCUUUCUUUGUCACUGAGGCUGGAGUGCAGUGGCACAAUCCCAGCUCACUGGAGCCUCGACCUCCCAGGCUCAAGUGAUCCCCCGCCUCAGCCUCUUGAGUAGCUGGGACCACAGGCAUGCAUCACCACACCAGGCUAAUUUUUUAUUUUUUGUAGAGAUGGGGUCUCACUGUGUUGCCCAGGCUGGUCUUGCACUCCUGGGCUCAAGAGAUCCUCCCACCUUGGUCUCCCAAAGUGCUGGGAUGCCAGGUGUGCACCGCCAUCCUCGGCCUUACUCUUCUCUUCCUCUCUCAGCCCCUCUGCCUCACUAUCCCUCUUUCUGUGCCCUCCCCCACACAGCCCCCCACACUUCUUCUUAGUCUCAUCUUCAGCUUCCCAUACGAGGCCAUCCUCAUGAAAUCAGGCACUGGGAGGUCCCUGGGGACUGACAAGUGCCAGCUGUCCCUUGCUGUCUCUCUGCCCCAUGGCUGCAGCAGGGAGGGUGGGCAAAGGGCAGAGGUGACAGUGGCCAAACCUGAAACUGAGGCCCAGCUCUGGUUGGGAAAGAAACAAGGAAACAAAAUAACUUGGGGACAGAGGGCGUGGGGUCAUCAGAGCGGGCAAAGGCUGCCCAGGAGUUGUAAAUCCGAGCCGCUCCCGGCUUUAUGAGGCCGAUUUGGGGUUGAGCCUGGACUUUGCCCAGGAAGGAGUGCUGGCAGCACACGGGGCGCCAGGUGUGGGCCCCGGAUGAUAAGAAGCCUCGGUGAAAAGACCAUGGACCUGGGGCCACGAAGACUGGGGAGCCCAGGUGAGUGGGCAUGGGACACUCUCCAGAGCCCUGCCGAAGGCGGACGCCAGGCAGGGCCCCGGUCUCCAAUUGGUUCCCGCCCCC
rnacentral:lncRNA from 1 species